rnacentral:tRNA from 4 species
GCGAAGGUGGCGGAAUUGGCAGACGCACCGGAUUUAGGUUCCGGCGCCUCACGGCAUGCGGGUUCGAGUCCCGCCCUUCGCACCA